GACGAACGCUGGCGGCGUGCUUAACACAUGCAAGUCGAACGAAGUAGCGAACGGGUGAUUAACGCGUAAUCAACCUGCCCUUCAGAGGGGGACAACAGUUGGAAACGACUGAUAAUACCGCAUACCGACGGAGGUGAUUGCUUCUGAUUAGCUAGUGGGAGGGGUAACGGCGCACCAAGGCGAGGAUCAGUAGCCGGGUGGAGAGGAUGAAAGGCCACAUGGGGACUGAGACAUGGCCCAGCCUCCUACGGGAGGAAGCAGUGGGGAAUCUGCCGAAAUGGAAGAAAGUCUGACGGAGCAAGGCCGCGUGAGUGAUGACGGCUUUCGGGUGGUAAAGUUCUGUUAAUCGGGACGCGGUACCGGAAUAGAAAGCGACGGCUAACUACGUGCCAGCAGCCGCGGUAAUAC
rnacentral:rRNA from 1 species